rnacentral:rRNA from 1 species
GCUGGGGGGGGGUGCUAUACAUGCAAGUCGAGCGCAUGACGAGGAGCUUGCUCCUCUGAUUGAGCGGCGGACGGGUGAGUAACACGUGGGCAACCUGCCCUGUAGACGGGGAUAACUUCGGGAAACCGGAGCUAAUACCGGAUAAUCCUCUUCCCCACAUGGGGAAGAGUUGAAAGGCGCUUUUGCGUCACUACAGGAUGGGCCCGCGGUGCAUUAGCUAGUUGGUGGGGUAACGGCCUACCAAGGCGACGAUGCAUAGCCGACCUGAGAGGGUGAUCGGCCACAUUGGGACUGAGACACGGCCCAAACUCCUACGGGAGGCAGCAGUAGGGAAUCUUCCACAAUGGACGAAAGUCUGAUGGAGCAACGCCGCGUGAGUGAUGAAGGUUUUCGGAUCGUAAAACUCUGUUGUAAGGGAAGAACCAGUACGUCAGGCAAUGGACGUACCUUGACGGUACCUUAUUAGAAAGCCACGGCUAACUACGUGCCAGCAGCCGCGGUAAUACGUAGGUGGCAAGCGUUGUCCGGAAUUAUUGGGCGUAAAGCGCGCGCAGGUGGUUUCUUAAGUCUGAUGUGAAAGCCCACGGCUUAACCGUGGAGGGUCAUUGGAAACUGGGAGACUUGAGUGCAGAAGAGGAAAGUGGAAUUCCAAGUGUAGCGGUGAAAUGCGUAGAGAUUUGGAGGAACACCAGUGGCGAAGGCGACUUUCUGGUCUGCAACUGACGCUGAGGCGCGAAAGCAUGGGGAGCAAACAGGAUUAGAUACCCUGGUAGUCCAUGCCGUAAACGAUGAGUGCUAAG